UUUAUGGACCAGCAAUAGGUUGUAAUUUAGGUUGGAUUGGUUGGUCCGACAUCUCUGCUUGAUCAGGAUUCGUUACUUUGCUCCCUCUGCCUCUACAUCAACUCCUACCACCAUGCCCACGUGUUCUGGUAGAUUUUCGUGGCAUGACUGUAUUGUUUCCGAGAAAUCUACGAUUUAAUCAGAAAUAGAAGGAAUUAAACUGUAUUGAUAUGGAACACGAUGUUGACGUUAUUGCUGAGAACGUAGUAAGAUCGCGCUAUGAACGUAGUAUAAUCGUGGUAAGAACGUGUUAUAAUCGCAGUAAGAUCGUGUUGCAAUCGGAAAACUCGUGGUAUGGUCGUAGUGAGAACGUGAAGAGCGUAGAAAGAUCUUGAUAAUCGUAGUGAGGUCGCAGAAUAAGCGCGGUGAGAACGUGGUAUAAUCGUAGCGGGAUCUUUGUAGAAACGUAGAG
rnacentral:lncRNA from 1 species